ACAUGCCUACAUCAUAGCAUUAAUGCAGUGGAUCCCAUUAGAACUUCGCAGUUAAGCGCGCUCAUGCUAGAGUAGUAUUGGGAUGGGUGACUGCCCGGGAAGUCCUAGUGUUUUACAUGCC
rnacentral:rRNA from 1 species